rnacentral:rRNA from 1 species
GAUGAACGCUAGCGGGAGGCUUAACACAUGCAAGUCGAGGGGCAGCACGAGGUAGCAAUACUUUGGUGGCGACCGGCGCACGGGUGAGUAACGCGUAUGCAACCUACCCUGUACAGGGGGAUAACCCGGAGAAAUUCGGACUAAUACCCCAUAAAGAUAUUUAGAGGCAUCUUUGAAUAUUUAAAGUUACGACGGUACGGGAUGGGCAUGCGUGACAUUAGCUAGUUGGUAGGGUAACGGCCUACCAAGGCUUCGAUGUCUAGGGGUCCUGAGAGGGUGAUCCCCCACACUGGUGCUGAGACACGGACCAGACUCCUACGGGAGGCAGCAGUGAGGAAUAUUGGUCAAUGGGCGCAAGCCUGAACCAGCCAUCCCGCGUGAAGGAAGAAUGCGCUAUGCGUUGUAAACUUCUUUUCCAGGGGAAGAAAACCUGAUACGUGUAUCGGCUUGCCGGUACCCUGGGAAUAAGCAUCGGCUAACUCCGUGCCAGCCGCCGCGGUAACAC